AGCUAUUCUUAAUUUUGUGCUAUUUUUUCCAAAGGAUACAAAGAUUAGCAUGGCCCCUGCGCAAGGACGACCUGCAAAUUUGUCAAGUAUUCCAUGUUAAA
rnacentral:snRNA from 1 species